CCCUAUGGGGUGCAGCAGGUGAAACAGGUUGGUGGAGGAAGCCUGCUGGAUGGCAUGUCCAGCGUUGGGCAAAUUUUCAUGGGCAUCACAUUUGGCGCCUUGUUCAUUGGCCUGUACAUGACAGCACUGGUCGCCUUGAUUUCCCAGUUGAAUUGGGUCAAGGAUUUCAUCACCAGCUUGCUUUGAAAACUUGAGGAAUUCACGUGGCUCCAAACUUUUACUUGAGCGUUGACAUCGGCAGGAGCAAUACCCGCGUUUGGCUAUUUGAUGACGCCUAUGACGCAUACAGCUUGCGCGCUUCCGCCCAGUCGCCUUCCACGGUGGGCGAACGUACGGACGUACGGCUGGGUUUCAUUGCUGCCGUGGAGAAAAUCCAGGAUGAAACAGGCAUUAACCUCCUGGACCCGAGAAAACACCUGCUCAUCGAUUCAGAAGGAAGAAUUGGCGGGAGGGC
rnacentral:rRNA from 1 species